GAUGAACGCUGGCGGCGUGCCUAAUACAUGCAAGUCGAGCGAACGGACGAGAAGCUGGCUUCUCUGAUGUUAGCGGCGGACGGGUGAGUAAUACGUGGAUAACCUACCUAUAAGGCUGGGAUAACUUCGGGAAACCGGAGCUAAUACCGGAUAAUAUUUUGAACCGCAUGGUUCAAAAGUGAAAGACGGUCUUGCUGUCACUUAUAGAUGGAUCCGCGCUGCAUUAGCUAGUUGGUAAGGUAACGGCUUACCAAGGCAACGAUGCAUAGCCGACCUGAGAGGGUGAUCGGCCACACUGGAACUGAGACACGGUCCAGACUCCUACGGGAGGCAGCAGUAGGGAAUUUUGGACAAUGGGCGAAAGCCUGAUGGAGCAACGCCGCGUGAGUGAUGAAGGUCUUCGGAUCGUAAAGCACUGUUAGUAGGGACGAACAUAUGUGUACGUAACUGAGGACACCUUGACGGUACCUACUGAGAAAGCCCCGGCUAACUACGUG
rnacentral:rRNA from 1 species